AAAAAGUUUAAUUUUGGCUUUAAAAAUUAAUAUAUUAUUUUUAUUAUAUGUAAAUUUUAGUGUGAAGAAUUUAAAAAUUUAAAUAGUUUUUGAUAAAGUGAAUGAAACCGCAGUAUAACAUAUUAAAUUUUAAAGAAAUUUAGAUUUAGAAAUUAAUAAUAAUAUUAACUAAAUUUGUGCCAGCAGUUGCGGUUACUCUUAUAAUAUAGUUAAUUUUUUUUAGUAUACACUUAGUUUGAUUAAAUAAAAUAAUUAAAAAUUUAUUAGGUGAAAUUUUAAAUUUUAUAUAAAAAUUAUUUUUUAAGCGAGGUUGGUAAAUUUUUUAUUAGACUAGGAUUAGAUACCCUAUUAUUAAAAAUGUAAAAAUAAAGUACUAUAUUAUUAGUAGUUAUGUUCUUGAAAGUUAAAAAAUUUGGCGGUAUUUUAGUCUAUUUAGAGGAACCUGUUCUAUAAUUGAUAUUCCACGAUUUAAAUUACUUAUUUUAAAAGUUUGCAUAUCGUCGUAGUUUGAAUAUUUUACUAGAAUAAUAAUGUUCAAAAUUUAUUACAAUAAAAUAAAUCAGAUCAAGGUACAGCUUAUAGAUAAGAAGAAAUGGGUUACAAUAAAGUUAUUUAUGGAUUAAUAAUUGGAAAUUGUUAUUAAAAUGGAUUUAAUUGUAAUAUAAUUAAAUUAAAUUAUAUGAUUUAAGCUCUAAAAUAUGUACAUAUCGCCCGUCGCUCUCAUUUAAAGUGAGAUAAGUCGUAACAAAGUAGGUGUACUGGAAAGUGUACCUAGAAAU
rnacentral:ncRNA from 1 species